GCUUACGGCCAUUUCGCUCUGAGAAUGCCUGAUCUCGUCUGAUCUCGGAAGCUAAGCAGAGUCGGGCCUGGUUAGUACUUGGAUAGGAGACUGCCUGGGAAUACCAGGUGCUGUAAGCU